rnacentral:piRNA from 1 species
UCCGGUAUGACCGCAUGUUAAGUGGGAA